rnacentral:rRNA from 1 species
UACACUCCUGCGGGAGGCAGCAGUGGGGAAUAUUGGACAAUGGGCGCAAGCCUGAUCCAGCCAUGCCGCGUGAGUGAUGAAGGCCCUAGGGUUGUAAAGCUCUUUCACCGGUGAAGAUAAUGACGGUAACCGGAGAAGAAGCCCCGGCUAACUUCGUGCCAGCAGCCGCGGUAAUAAGAAGGGGGCUAGCGUUGUUCGGAUUUACUGGGCGUAAAGCGCACGUAGGCGGACUAUUAAGUCAGGGGUGAAAUCCCGGGGCUCAACCCCGGAACUGCCUUUGAUACUGGUAGUCUUGAGUUCGAGAGAGGUGAGUGGAAUUCCGAGUGGAGAGGUGAAAUUCGUAGAUAUUCGGAGGAACACCAGUGGCGAAGGCGGCUCACUGGCUCGAUACUGACGCUGAGGUGCGAAAGCGUGGGGAGCAAACAGGAUUAGAAACCCGUGUAGUCCC